AACGAACGCUGGCGGCAUGCCUAACACAUGCAAGUCGAACGAGACCUUCGGGUCUAGUGGCGCACGGGUGCGUAACGCGUGGGAACCUGCCUUUAGGUUCGGAAUAACUCAGAGAAAUUUGAGCUAAUACCGGAUGAUGUCUUCGGACCAAAGAUUUAUCGCCUUUAGAUGGGCCCGCGUUGGAUUAGCUAGUUGGUGGGGUAAAGGCCUACCAAGGCGACGAUCCAUAGCUGGUCUGAGAGGAUGAUCAGCCACACUGGGACUGAGACACGGCCCAGACUCCUACGGGAGGCAGGAGUGGGGAAUAUUGGACAAUGGGCGAAAGCCUGAUCCAGCAAUGCCGCGUGAGUGAUGAAGGCCUUAGGGUUGUAAAGCUCUUUUACCCGAGAUGAUAAUGACAGUAUCGGGAGAAUAAGCUCCGGCUAACUCCGUG
rnacentral:rRNA from 1 species